AGUGACCGCUGGCGGCGUGCCUAAUACAUGCAAGUCGAACGAAGUGGCGCACGGGUGAGUAAUAUAUAGUUAAUCUGCCCUACACAGAGGAACAACAGUUGGAAACGACUGCUAAUACCCAAGAGUGUAGGAUGAGACUAUAUCGUAUCAGCUAGUUGGUAAGGUAAUGGCUUACCACGGCUAUGACGCGUAACUGGUCUGAGAGGAUGAUCAGUCACAUUCGAAGUGCGACACCGUCCGAGCUCCUACGGGAGGCAGCAGUAAUGUAUAAUACGCAAUGGGGGGAACCCUGACGCAGCAACGCCGCGUGGAGGAUGAGACUUUUCGGAGCGUAAACUCCUUUUAUCAGGAAAGCGGUACCUGUUGAAUAUGCACCGGCUAACUCCGUGCCAGCAGCCGCGGUAAUUC
rnacentral:rRNA from 1 species